GAUGAAGAACGUAGCGAAAUGCGAUAAGUAGUGUGAAUUGCAGAAUUCAGUGAAUCAUCGAAUCUUUGAACGCACAUUGCGCCUCCUGGUAUUCCGGGAGGCAUGCCUGUCCGAGCGUCAUUCAAAAACAUAAACCUUGUCCCAGAGAGAUCUGGGGGGAUGGUUUGCUGUUGAGAGAUGAGCCUGCUAAGGGCUCCCUCUCGAAUUUCAGAGGCGAACUGAAACAAAAACCAGUGGGUGUAGGUAGUAGUAAAGAAAUUUUCUAUCCAUCUCCUUGCCAGUUUUUGUGACACUUUAGCCGAUCCAACUAAAUUUUACUUCUGUUUUUGACCUCGGAUCAGGUAGGGAUACCCGCUGAACUUAAGCAUAUCAAUAAGCGGAGGA
rnacentral:misc_RNA from 1 species